GAUGAACGCUGGCGGCGUGCCUAAUACAUGCAAGUCGAGCGAACAGACGAGGAGCUUGCUCCUCUGACGUUAGCGGCGGACGGGUGAGUAACACGUGGAUAACCUACCUAUAAGACUGGGAUAACUUCGGGAAACCGGAGCUAAUACCGGAUAAUAUAUUGAACCGCAUGGUUCAAUAGUGAAAGACGGUUUUGCUGUCACUUAUAGAUGGAUCCGCGCCGCAUUAGCUAGUUGGUAAGGUAACGGCUUACCAAGGCGACGAUGCGUAGCCGACCUGAGAGGGUGAUAGGCCACACUGGAACUGAGACACGGUCCAGGCGCCUACGGGAGGCAGCAGUAGGGAACCGUCCGCAAUAGGCGAAAGCCUGACGGAGCAACGCAGCGUGAGUGAUGAAGGUCUUCGGAUCGUAAAACUCUGUUAUUAGGGAAGAACAAAUGUGUAAGUAACUAUGCACGUCUUGACGGUACCUAAUCAGAAAGCCACGGCUAACUACGUG
rnacentral:rRNA from 1 species